rnacentral:misc_RNA from 1 species
UUGGUGGAGGACUUGCUGCU